rnacentral:rRNA from 1 species
GUUUUGUAGAUAAAGUGAGGGGAGCGGCGAACGGCUGAGUAACACGUUGGUAGCUACCUCGCACUCAGGGAUAACAUCUAGAAAUAGGUGCUAAUACCGGAUGGUCUCGUAAGAGUAAAGCUUUUGCGGUGCGAGAGGUGCCUGCGGCCUAUCAGUUUGUUGGUGAGGUAACGGCUCACCAAGACUAUGACGGGUAGCUGGUCUGAGAGGAUGACCAGUCAGAAUGGGACUGAGACACGGCCCAUACUCC